rnacentral:rRNA from 1 species
UACGUAGGGUGCGAGCGUUAAUCGGAAUUACUGGGCGUAAAGCGUGCGCAGGCGGUUUUGUAAGUCUGACGUGAAAUCCCCGGGCUUAACCUGGGAAUGGCCAUGGAAACUGGCGAACUGGAGUGCGGCAGAGGGGGGUGGAAUUCCGCGUGUAGCAGUGAAAUGCGUAGAGAUGCGGAGGAACACCGAUGGCGAAGGCAGCCCCCUGGGCUAACACUGACGCUCAGGCACGAAAGCGUGGGGAGCAAACAGG